rnacentral:rRNA from 1 species
UACGUAGGUGGCAAGCGUUAUCCGGAAUUAUUGGGCGUAAAGCGCUCGCAGGCGGUUUCUUAAGUCUGAUGUGAAAGCCCACGGCUCAACCGUGGAGGGUCAUUGGAAACUGGGGAACUUGAGUGCAGAAGAGGAAAGUGGAAUUCCAAGUGUAGCGGUGAAAUGCGUAGAGAUUUGGAGGAACACCAGUGGCGAAGGCGACUUUCUGGUCUGUAACUGACGCUGAGGCGCGAAAGCGUGGGGAGCGAACAGG